UCUCCGUUGGUGAACCAGCGGAGGGAUCAUUACAGGACUCGCAAGACUCCUACAACCCUGUGUACUUAACUAUAAGCACGUUGCUUCGGCGGGUGUCUCGGAGGGAGUCCUCCCUCCCCGAGACGCUAAACCCGCCGGCAGCCUACUAUACUCUGUCUCUUUGCGUUGGCAUCUCGAGUACAAUCAAACAAGUUAAAACUUUCAACAACGGAUCUCUUGGUUCUG
rnacentral:misc_RNA from 1 species